rnacentral:lncRNA from 10 species
AAAAAAAAAAAAAAACAAACAAACAAAAAACGGUGCACCCCUUGCCACACCAUGGAAAAUGGAGGCAAGCACAUAACUGGGCCAAAUCCCCAUGGUCUCUUUGGGCAGAAGACAAGUCAGGCAGCUGGAUCCUCUCACACAGAGGCCAGUAAGAACAAAGGCAUCACCUGGGGAGAGGAGACACCGAUGGGGUCUUAGGAGAAUCCCAAGAAGUACAUCCCUGGAACAGAAAUCAUCUUUGCUGACAUUGAGAGGUCAGAAAGGGCAGACUUGAUAGCUUAUCUCAAAAAAGCUGCUAAUGGAU